rnacentral:rRNA from 1 species
ACGAACGCUGGCGGCGUGCUUCACCCAUGCCAGUCGAGCGGUAAGGCCUCUUCGGGGGUACCCGAGCGGCGAACGGGUGAGUAACACGUGGGUGACCUGCCCUCAGCUCUGGGAUAAGCCUGGGAAACUGGGUCUAAUACCGGAUAUGACCUUUCCUCGCAUGGGGUUUGGUGGAAAGUUUUUUCGGCUGGGGAUGGGCCCGCGGCCUAUCAGCUUGUUGGUGGGGUGAUGGCCUACCAAGGCGACGACGGGUAGCCGGCCUGAGAGGGCGACCGGCCACACUGGGACUGAGACACGGCCCAGACUCCUACGGGAGGCAGCAGUGGGGAAUAUUGCGCAAUGGGCGGAAGCCUGACGCAGCGACGCCGCGUGGGGGAUGACGGCCUUCGGGUUGUAAACCUCUUUCGACCCCGACGAAUUUGGACGGUAGGGGUAGAAGAAGCACCGGCCAACUACGUG